UACGUAGGGUCCAAGCGUUGUCCGGAUUUAUUGGGCGUAAAGAGCUCGUAGGCGGCUUAGUAAGUCGGAUGUGAAAACUCGGGGCUCAACCCCGAGACGCCAUCCGAUACUGCUGUGGCUUGAGUCUGGUAGGGGAACACGGAAUUCCUGGUGUAGCGGUGAAAUGCGUAGAUAUCUGGAGGAACACCGGUGGCGAAGGCGGCAUCCUGGACCGACACUGACGCUGAGGCGCGAAAGCUAGGGUAGCAAACGGG
rnacentral:rRNA from 1 species